rnacentral:rRNA from 12 species
GUAGCUGCACCAGAGUACGAGUGCCCGAUAACAUCCAGUCUUAGAAGCUAAGCAGGGCUGUGCUUGGUUAGUACUUGGAUGGGAGACCAACUUACAAGACUAGGGUCUGCUAGC